UUCUUGCACUAGUACUCCUGCAGGUAUUGACUUAAGUUAUUUGACGACUAGAACGUUCAAAAAUUGGUGGCAUAAAAUUUCGGGCCGCAUGACGUAUCUCAUUAUAACUGAUUCAUCAAGAUCAUCAACAAAAAUUGCGUGACGAUACAUUUGAUACGUAAACCGAAUGUGGGUGGGGGUAAUAUACUUUCUACAGUCGAACGGUGAAAAAUAAUUUCAUCUCUCCGCUUAAUUCAUAUUCAUUUGUUCGAUGAUGAACAUUAAUAAUAACUCGCGCGACGUGUGAAAUGUGAAAGUAUAAAUACCAUGAAGUGUACGAUAAUUUGUAUGUUAUUCGUCGUGUUUACCUGCCAAGCUGGGUAUAGCAGUGCCUACCGACAGUAUCAGUACGAAUACUAUUAUCCCGAGCAUGAUUACAUCGAAACGGAACAGGAGAGUGGCGGAAAUAGUUUAUCUGAUUAUUGGAAAGUUUUCAAAGAAACAUUUCAGAAAUCGUACAAAGAUUUAAACAAACCUUAUGUGAUCGAGAGAGAAGUACCAGUUUAUGUACCAGUGGAUCGAGUUCGUACUGUCAUCAAACAUCAUCCCGUCUUCGUUAAACCCAAUGCGAAUCGAGUCGUUUACAGAAGACGUCCACAGUAUAACAAUCAUUGGUGAUACCGAAAAUGCAUUUAAACCGCAACAUUUGUACCUCAUAAUGAUGCCAUACUACUGUAGUGUUGCCAUUAAGUGUACGUAUUGAAUAUGUGACCGCAUUAAAUGAAGGUCAUUAUUUAUACUAAUUUAUGACAAACAAAAUUAAGUUAAAAAGACAAAUAAAGUGUGGUGUGCACAUAGAUACAGUAUGUUA